AGUGAACGCUGGCGGCGUGCCUAAUACAUGAAAGUCGAACGGAGUGGAGCACGGGUGAGUAAUGUAUAGCUAAACUGCCGUACAAUAGAGGACAAAAGUUGGAAACGGAUGCUAAUACUCAAUAGUGUAUGAUGAUGCUAGUUUGUAUCAGCUAGUUGGUGAGGUAAUGGCUCACCAAGGCUGUGACGCAUAACUGGUCUGAGAGGAUGAUCAGUCACACUGGAACUGAGACACGGGCCAUACUCCUUCGGGAGGCAGCAGUAUGGAAUAUUGCUCAAUGGGGGAAACCCUGAAGCAGCAACGCCGCGUGGAGGAUGACACUUUUCGGAGCGUAAACUCCUUUUGGUAGGGAAGCGGUACCUAACGAAUAAGCACCGGCUAACUCCGUGCCAGCAGCCGCGGUAAUAC
rnacentral:rRNA from 1 species